GAAAAAAAAACACAAAAAAAGACCUUAACAAUUUGCUAAAGAGAAGACACGUGGACUUUUGCACAAAUACAAUUUCUUUUUACUUGUUCUCCCUUUCUCCUACCACUCUGCCUUCUUGUGAUUUUAUCUAUUAACCUUGAUCCUUCCCAUCCGUCGUCACCAGAGAUGCAAAGAUCCAAAGAGCCAUGAUCGAGUGCAUCAAAGCCCUGCUUCAUUUGCCCUUGCACCUCCAUAAAAACCCAACCCCCUUGCUGUUAGGGGCUUAGGGCUUUGCUCCGAUCCUCCGACCUCCACCGAGGAAGCAUUGCAAGAAGAUUUCUGGGAAGAGGAAGUGGUAGAGCUAUGGGCAAUUCUUGUGUCACUGGUGCUGGCCGAUCAAACCAGAGGCAGAGCCAGGGAUCUAAGGUGACACCUCCCGCCGAGCAGACAACCUUCAAGUGGAGCAUCGAUGGCUUCUCUUCACUUAUCGAAAAGAGAGACAGCUGGGCAAGAUCCAGAGUUUUUGAGAUCAUGGGCCUGAAAUGUUAGCCACAAUUUCCAGACCGCAAGCACCGGUUCUGGGGCCUCAUGCAUGAUUCCCCUCGUGAAACUGAAGGAGCCGUCCUCCGGAUUCCUCGUCAACAACAGUUGUGUCUUUGGUGUCGAGUUCCUCAAAGUUAUCAGUUCUAAAACCAACAGUAUGUCAGAGAGGCUGUUUGUCCUGAAGAUGAACACCUUCAACUAGGACGAAGCUUACACUUGGGACAUUGACGACUUCUUCGCACUGAAGAACCAGGACUACUCUCCGGAGUUUGAAUCCGGCAAAUACCAAUGGUGGUCAAUCAAAAUAUAUCCAGCUCAUGAUGGGAAGCACCUAUCCCUGUACCUGAACAUGAAAACACCAAAUACUCCCCCCAAAGACUCCGGAAAUCUGGUAGAACUUAGCUUAUCCAUCAAAGACCAGGAAAAUGGAAAGCACCAGAAAAUAACAGGCCAAUGAACAAGUUCAUGACGCCGGAGGAUUUCAAGGACUCGUCGAAUGGUUAUCUCGUGAAAACCAAGUGCUGCAUUGAAGCUGAGGUCGCGAUCGUUGGUUCCUCCAAUACGAACUAGAGUAUUUGCAUGGUGCGUGUGUGCUCGUGUUUCUUUGCUUAUUUGAGCCGAAUAUGCUGAAAGCGCAAACGGCAAAUAAGGUUCAGUUCUUUGCCUCUGUCGUGUCAUGUUGAUGCAGUGACAUCUGCUGCCAUCAAUUUGUAAUCUUAAAAUUAUCGAUCCUUCAGACGAAGAAACCGAAUUCCAAAAUUUUC